AUGAAAUCGGUAGUUGAGCGUGCGGUCGAAAAAUCUAAGGAUGCAUGCUCUGUUUGCGGAUCAGAAGAUCAUUUUACUGAAGAUUGUGAGUUCUUGAAACUACUAGAUCAAAAUGACGGCUCCGGCUCUGAAGAUAACUAUGUACGAGAAUCUUGCUUGGAUGGUUCCGGGGAUGAUGGACAGGACCGGUUUGACGAGGAUCCAGUGCAUGUGGAAACUUCAGAAGCUCAGACAACUCGCUUGAUGGCAUCUGCAUCACCUACACCUCUCACAGCUCGUUUCGCUAGUGCAACUGCUACUGCAUCUCGUCAGUCCAAAGUUCCAAGCUCCAGCGGAAAAACUCCUGCUAGACGCAGAUGCAGCAUAUGCAAUGAGCAUGGACACAAUAAGGUGUCUUGUCCGCUAAGUGAUGAACCAAAGAAACCCCCAAAGAAGGUCCGAUGUGGCAAGUGCGGCAUGGGCACACACUAUGAAUCAACUUGUGGCGGCAAUACAACCUACAAACGACCUCGUCGUCUUCCGUAA
rnacentral:rRNA from 1 species